UUUUUAGUAGCUUAAAUUUAAAGCGAAACUUUGAAGAAGUUUAGAUAUUUAAUAAUCUAAAAA
rnacentral:tRNA from 1 species